rnacentral:tRNA from 1 species
UGCCCUGGUAGUCUAGUUCGGUCAAGGACGUCAGCCUCUCAAGCCGGCAACCCGGGUUCAAAUCCCGGCUAGGGCAA